rnacentral:lncRNA from 1 species
CUUAUAUAAACAUAGGAAUGAGAUUAUUUAUGCUCAUCGAGCAUGAGGAAAGAAAAGAAAGUACCACUAUCCAUCCAUUCUGGCCAUAAAAAAUGCUCUGUCUCUGAUUCAUGUCACCCCUUUAAUAUCAAGGAAUUGUGUAAUAAUCUUCAACACAAGUCUAUGAUUGAUUUCUUAUACCAAUCAGCCUGUCAACUUCAGCAAGAGACCAUACAAGUGGAAAAGUAAGACAGUAAGUUGGAUUAAUCAAGCAGAGAAAGGAGUUGAAAGCCAUAGCUGGGUCUGCAAACUGAAGCCUUCUCUAAAUUCUCAGAAAUUCUGGAAGAAAAUGUUGGAAAUUCCUCAGGAAAUGGAAAGACUAACCAAUAUAAUUAGCCAAUUAACAAAAAGAAAAGAAAAGAAAAGAAAAGAAAAAGAAGCCACGUGUUUUUAUUUGGAGAUGAGAGCAUCCAGUUUCACAUCACUACUGAACACAUGUUUGCUGCAGUUUACUAGAGGUCCACUUCAGACCCUCUUUGCCUGGGUAUCACCAGUGGAGGCUGCAGAACAGCCAAGAUUGCUGCCUGCUUCUUCCUCUGGAAGCUUCGUCCCAGAGGGACACCAGGCUGAUGCCAGCUGGAGCUCUCCUGUAUGAGGUGUCUGUCAGUCCCUGCUGGGAGGUCUCUCCCAGUCAGGAGGCUUGGGGGAUCAGGGACCCACUUGAGGAGGCAGUCUGUCCCUUAGCAGAGCUUGAGCACUAUGCUGGGAGAAUACUCCUUGUCAGGAUCAGCUGCUCUCUUCAGAGCCAGCAGGCAGGAAAGUUUAAGUCUGCUGAAGCUGUCCCCACAGCCGCCCCUUCCCCCAGGUGCUCUGUCCCAGGGAGAUGGGAGUUUUAUCUAUAAGCCCCUGACUGGCAUUUCUUUCAGAGAUGCCCUGCUGAGUGACGAGGAAUCCAGAGAGGCAGUCCGGCCACAGCCACUUUGCCACGCUGUGUUGAGUUCUGCCCAGUCCAAACUUCCAGGCCCCCUUAGCACUAUCAGGGGAAAACCACCUACUCAAGCCUCAGUAAUGGUGGACGCCCCUCCUCCUACCAAGCUCUAUCAUUCCAGGUUGACUUCAGACUGCUGAGCUGGCAGUGAGAAUUUCAAGCCAGUGGUUCUUAUCUUGCUGGGCACUGUGGGAGUGGGACCUGCUCGCUGAGUGAGACCACUUGGCUCCCUGGCUUCAGCCCCCUUUCCAGGGGAGUGAACGGUUCUGCCCCACUGGGGUUCCAGGAGCCACUGGGGUACAAGAAAAAAAAAAAAAAACUUCUGCAGCUAACUCAGCGUCUGCCCAAAUAACCGCCCAGUUUUGUGCUUGAAACCCAGAACCCUGGUGGUGUAGGCACACUAGGGAAUCUCCUGACCUGUGGAUUGCAAAAACCCUGGGAAAAGCGUAGUACCCAGGCCAGAUAGCACAGUCCCUCACAGCUUCCCUUUGGGUGGAGGAGGGAGGUCCCUGGCUCCUUACACUUUCCGGUGAGGUGACGCCCCACUUUGCUUCUGUUUGCCCUCUGUGGGCUGCACCCACUGCCUAACCAGUCCCAAUGAGAUGAACUGGGUACCUCAGAUAGAAAUGCAGAAAUCACCUGCCUUCUGCAUUGGUCUUGCUGGGAGCUGCAGACUGGAGCCAUCUUGCCAGAUUGAGUAAUUUCUUUCAACUUAGCUUUCUAAUCAAUUGUUAAAACAUGCAUAAUUAUUUAAAUAUUGGCAUAUGUAAAUUUGGAAGUACGGCAGUAUGGAAUAAACUAUUUUAUCCAACAUUUGAGGGAUAAUGCAUGUAAGACCAGGUGUAAUUCUCAUUUAAUUAAUAUCAGGCUCAUCAGUCUAUGCAGUUCCAUUUUCAAUAUUGACAUGUAUAAACAACAGAUGCAAAGCCUAUACACAUUCAAUAAAUUUUUUAUGACAUUAUUAUGCUCAUUAUGGAAGAGUUGUGUCUGUCUACAUAAACACUUG